rnacentral:misc_RNA from 1 species
GAAAGUACCCGACCUAUGCCUAUCGUUCUUUCUUAAUUUGACGGCUUUGCCGUUUGUACGUACACGUGAGGCAACAGCUCGUUGAGGCCGUAGAUUUCUACAGAUUAUCAGUGAAAAUGCCGUCCGACGCCAAGAAAAAACAGCAGCAGAAGAAAAAAGAUGCUGCAAAGGCUAGACAGUCCGGCAAGAAGACAACUCAGCCUCAGAACAGAUCCGAAGAUGAUAGUAAAGAACAGAGUCCUGUGGGAGAACAACAGAAUGGCACCAAUGGAACUGCCCUCUGUGCAGAAGAGGCUCUCUGUUUGAAACUGGAGGCAGAUGCACGGCUCAACGCUGAAGCUCGUUCGUGUACUGGUUCACUGGCUUCUCAUCCUCGUAGUCGAGAUAUUAAGAUAUCGAACUUUUCAAUAACCUUCCAUGGUUGCGAACUUUUGCAAGAUACCAUGCUCGAGUUGAAUUGUGGCAGACGAUAUGGUCUCUUGGGUCUAAAUGGUUCAGGAAAGUCUACUUUGCUUUCUGUCGUUGGUAAUCGAGAAGUUCCGAUACCCGAGCAGAUCGAUAUUUUUCAUCUGACUAGAGAGAUGCCAGCUAGUAAUAAGUCAGCAUUGGAAUGUGUCAUGGAAGUUGACGAGGAACGAGUUAGACUUGAAAGGUUGGCUGAGGAAUUGGUUGAAUGUGAAGAAGAAGAUGCACAGGAACAACUCAUGGACGUUUAUGAGAGAUUAGAUGAUAUGAAUGCAGAUACAGCCGAGGCUCGUGCCGCUCAUAUUCUGCAUGGUCUAGGUUUCACUCCUAAAAUGCAGCGAACUCCGACUAAAGAUUUCUCUGGAGGUUGGCGAAUGCGAAUAGCAUUGGCAAGAGCCCUGUACGUGAAGCCGCAUCUGCUGCUGUUAGAUGAACCUACCAAUCAUCUUGACCUCGAUGCUUGUGUUUGGCUCGAAGAAGAGCUCAAAACGUACAAGAGAAUUCUUGUAAUCAUCUCUCAUUCCCAAGAUUUCCUCAAUGGUAUCUGCACCAACAUUAUUCACGUGAAUAAAAAACAGCUAAAGUAUUACACCGGUAAUUACGAGGCAUUCACCAAGACCAGGAUGGAAUUGCUGGAAAAUCAAGCAAAACAGUACAACUGGGAGCAAGAUCAAAUAGCGCACAUGAAAAACUACAUUGCUAGAUUUGGUCACGGAUCAGCAAAGUUGGCCAGACAGGCACAGUCCAAAGAAAAAACUUUAGCUAAAAUGGUCGCUCAAGGUCUGACCGAGAAAGUUACCAGUGACAAGAUUCUCAACUUCUACUUUCCAUCUUGUGGAGGUAUACCACCCCCUGUUAUCAUGGUGCAAAAUGUCAGCUUCCGAUACACGGACGACUCUCCAUGGAUAUACAAAAAUUUGGAAUUUGGAAUAGAUCUGGAUACAAGGCUUGCUUUGGUCGGACCCAACGGUGCUGGCAAGAGUACAUUACUCAAAUUGUUGUAUGGAGAAUUGGUACCCAGCAGUGGAAUGAUCAGAAAAAACAGUCAUUUGCGUAUCGCGAGGUACCACCAACACUUGCAUGAACUACUGGACCUGGACCUAUCUCCUCUAGAUUAUAUGAUGAAGGCUUUUCCGGAUGUCAAAGAACGCGAAGAAAUGCGCAAAAUAAUUGGUAGAUAUGGAUUGACCGGUCGACAGCAGGUAUGUCCCAUUCGUCAAUUGUCAGAUGGGCAACGUUGCAGAGUCGUGUUUGCCUGGCUUGCCUGGCAAGUACCGCAUCUUUUGCUGCUAGACGAACCUACCAAUCAUCUUGAUAUGGAAACUAUUGAUGCGCUAGCCGACGCGAUCAAUGAUUUUGACGGCGGAAUGGUUUUGGUCUCCCAUGACUUUAGACUAAUUAAUCAGGUAGCGGAAGAAAUUUGGGUGUGCGAAAAUGGAACGGUCACAAAAUGGCAAGGUGGCAUUUUGAACUACAAGGAACACUUGAAGACCAAGGUGUUGAAGGAUAACCAGAAGAGUCAGAAGGACUUCGCUGCCCGAGUCAAAUAAACAAACGGGCAUCCAAAGGUGGGUAAAGGCUGCGCACAACAUCAUCAACCCUUGGAGAUACAGUUGCCCAUUGUCUAACGGUUUAUCUUUUGUUGAAAUUUGGACAUACGUCAACGAUC